GGAGCUGUGCCUGAAGUAUAAAGGGCCACUUUGAUAGAGUGGAUAAUGGAGAUUAGUACUCUCCCAGCUCCU
rnacentral:tRNA from 1 species